AAAGAAAAAAUAGAGAGUUGAGAAGGAGAGUCAACAUGGAUAAUGAAUUCUAGGAUUAUCUGAGGGAGAUUCAAACAGUGCUUAUGUUUUGGAGGUGUUAAAUCUUUAUUAAUAGGGUAAGCAACCGAAGCAUGGCUGGUUGACUGGUGCAAGGAAAAUUGUUUCUGAGGAAUCAUUACCUUUGUAAAUGGGUCUGUAAAUAGCAGAGUUGUAAUGUAUAUUAUUUAUAGAAGCAAGCAAAUAAUUGUUGUGGAUGGAAAAAAAGAAAAAGGAAAUUGAGUUUGAAGUAAGACAUUAUGUUUUUAAUUAUGAUAUUUGAAGGGCCAUGAACUUGCAUCCUGUGAUACUAGAAUCAAACAUAUCUAUGAUUGACUUCCAAUGUUUUCAAGAAUCAAUUCAUGUGAUCCAUUUUGAUGAUAAGGAUAAACAUGUUUUAUGCUGAAGUUUGGUGAGAAUCACUAUAUGUGGCAUCCUUUGGGUGGGAUAUCCACUUACGAAUGAGGUGCCCUUCUCAUGGGUUCAAUUGAGAAGUCUUUAUAGUGCCUAUAACCAAGAUAUGCAUCAUCACUUACUCUUUUGUGCCUGUUGGUUGGCUAAUUGGCAUCUCUCUUGAGAAGGACAAGGAAGGGAUUGCUUAUUGUUGUUAUGUCACAUAGUAUUGCAGUGACUAGAGAGAAAGGGAAGAUAGAAGGAAUGGUGGAAAGGAGGAAGACAAGAAUUGUGGCAUGGUUCAUGCCCGUAAUGAUGACACACCUUAUUUUGUUCACAUUCUUUUUCUGCAUGUACACUUUGUAUCUUAGUGUCAGGUUGUUUUUCCUACUGUGUUUAAACGUUCUUCAGUCAUUCUUUUGUGCGUUACAUGUAGUUUUACGUCUAUAUGUGGUUUAGGUGACUUUUAAAUACAAGAGCAGGCAUUGCUUCCAAACAGGUAGGUUUCACUUUUCAUAAAUCAAAACAUCAUUGCACUCCAAGGAAUUCUAAUAAUCCUUGAAUCGAUUGAAAGUUAUAAUUGAAAAUUCUACUAAUCCUUCUGCAUUCCAUUUUGUCUAGUUAGAUGUAAUCGGCUAGGAUUUGUGGAUCUCCCGAAACGCUUUGUACCGACCUUUUAGGGUUGUGCCAGCAUUCUAGUUUGUUGUUAAUUUUAGCAUUAUUCUGUAUGCUAUCAUAAUUCUGGUUUUUGUUUUACAAUAUGCUGAUCCUUCUAAGGUAAAUUAUGAUCUUUCUUUCUUUUGAUGUUCUGUUUGGUUUUUGGGUCUUUUUUAGUUCAAGCUUUUGCAGAGUCCACGUUUAGUCCUGGAAAAGUAAAAAUGUUCUAUUUUGGUAACAAGUUCCAAAUUCAUCGUUCCUCAAACUCAGACUGUUUUGUGUUAGUUAAACUAAGCUUUGUUUAAAUGAGUUGGAUCAUUUUAAUCUCUUUGUUACUUUGAUAAUUGCACUGCAUUCCAUUUUUUAAGCAAGCCUGCAUUCAUAAAUAAUUUAUGCAGGUUUAGUUGCUUCCUUUUGUUUGUGCUGAUGACGUGUCAGCAAUACCAAAUCAUCUGAGCAUAACCAAUAUUCGAUCUGUUCUAUUUGGUUUGGACCAACAAACUAAUUUCUUCAGCAAGAAUUUAUAGCUUAGUUUAUUCGUUUACAUUGUUACUGACCUGCUCUAAUUUUCAUCCCGACAUCUCAUUUUUUGACUGAAAAGAUCGUAUUGGCAUAAUUGGAGCACAUCUUGCAGCUGUUGCUAAGGCAUCUGCCAAUAAAUCCCCAAGAAAUUUCAGGUAACGGUCAAUGCACUCACCCUCCAUUGACAACCCAUGUCUUGGAUGUUGCUUGCGGCACUCCUGCAUCACUAAUGGAGGUACACCUGGAGAUGUGGAAGGACACCCAACAGUGUCCAUCAUUCAUUCAGCGACCGACAUUCUAGCAUGUGGGUAUUCCUAGGCUCUUCAGUCACAAAUACUGUUGGUCGUAGCAGUCCUUUGAUGGGUGUUGUUGAUUAUAUUACACCUGGGUUUUAUUAAAUCAGUUUCAAUGCUGGCAAAUAUGUGCCCUCUGGCUUCUUUACCCAUGUUAGCAUAGCAUUUUUGGUCGGGGAGAACCAAAGUUCAAAUAUUAUCGUGUCCCGUUGUUGUAUUCACCCUUCUCCUUGACUGCAUGUAGGGGGAGCUAGAUAAGGAAUCAGUCUUGUAUCGCUCAUUACAAUUCAAAUAAUCAGGCUGGAGAACCGUUGGUGCUUGAUCAUAUUUGUACACGAGCACUUAAGAAUGUAUUGCUCUGGCUGGCUUGUAUAAUGUGACCAUGAUGAACAUACAUCUAUUAUGCCUACCAGUAGUGGUCCAUCAGGGAGUUUUAUUCAGGCAACAGUAUUGAACAGACGUCUUGCUGAAGGAUUUUGUUUUAUGCAUCGACUUAUGCUAGGGAAAGUUGUCUUUUGACGCCCAUUAUGAUCAGAGUAGCCUUCUUGAAUUGUGCUGUAUGACCGACAGGAUUUCAACUCUCUUUCAGAUGGAAAUAUCAGCGGCCGAUCCUUGUGAGCUACCGAUUUUUUUUAAGCAACGAUUUAUAAUUAUAAGAAAUUGAUGCUGCCAAAUGCAUUCUAACUUUUUCUAUAAACAUAAUAAAGAUGGUUCAUCCAUAUGUGAUGCCAUGAGAUGUGAGGGUGGUUGUAGGGUGGAAGCACCAGUGGUCCAAAGAGUCGGUAAUUUUAACUGGACAUCUAGAGAGGCAGAUAAGUUAUGAAGAACAAUUCAAGGAUGUUUGCUGCGGAAGAACACAAUGCCUUCUUGGACAGGAAAUUCCUGUUUUUCCUUCUCUCAUUUUCUUAGCAAUUAAAGAUCCAGACAAAGUCUUGGCUGCUUCUUCCCCCAGAGAACGAGGACGCAGCAGUACAAAGUCGAGUGAAUUUAUUCUGGUGUAACAUUGCCAUCUAGUUAUUGGAAAUUUUGAAACCACCGGUGG